CUAAUACCGCAUACGCCCUACGGGGGAAAGCAGGGGAUCUUCGGACCUUGCGCUAAUAGAUGAGCCUAAGUCGGAUUAGCUAGUUGGUGGGGUAAAGGCCUACCAAGGCGACGAUCUGUAGCGGGUCUGAGAGGAUGAUCCGCCACACUGGGACUGAGACACGGCCCAGACUCCUACGGGAGGCAGCAGUGGGGAAUAUUGGACAAUGGGGGGAACCCUGAUCCAGCCAUGCCGCGUGUGUGAAGAAGGCCUUUUGGUUGUAAAGCACUUUAAGCGAGGAGGAGGCGCUCUAGGAUAAUACCCUAGAUGCGUGGACGUUACUCGCAGAAUAAGCACCGGCUAACUCUGUGCCAGCAGCCGCGGUAAUACAGAGGGUGCGAGCGUUAAUCGGAUUUACUGGGCGUAAAGCGCGCGUAGGUGGCUAAUUAAGUCAAAUGUGAAAUCCCCGAGCUUAACUUGGGAAUUGCAUUCGAUACUGGUUAGCUAGAGUAUGGGAGAGGAUGGUAGAAUUCCAGGUGUAGCGGUGAAAUGCGUAGAGAUCUGGAGGAAUACCGAUGGCGAAGGCAGCCAUCUGGCCUAAUACUGACACUGAGGUGCGAAAGCAUGGGGAGCAAACAGGAUUAGAUACCCUGGUAGUCCAUGCCGUAAACGAUGUCUACUAGCCGUUGGGGCCUUUGAGGCUUUAGUGGCGCAGCUAACGCGAUAAGUAGACCGCCUGGGGAGUACGGUCGCAAGACUAAAACUCAAAUGAAUUGACGGGGGCCCGCACAAGCGGUGGAGCAUGUGGUUUAAUUCGAUGCAACGCGAAGAACCUUACCUGGCCUUGACAUACAGAGAACUUUCCAGAGAUGGAUUGGUGCCUUCGGGAACUCUGAUACAGGUGCUGCAUGGCUGUCGUCAGCUCGUGUCGUGAGAUGUUGGGUUAAGUCCCGCAACGAGCGCAACCCUUUUCCUUACUUGCCAGCAUUUCGGAUGGGAACUUUAAGGAUACUGCCAGUGACAAACUGGAGGAAGGCGGGGACGACGUCAAGUCAUCAUGGCCCUUACGGCCAGGGCUACACACGUGCUACAAUGGUCGGUACAAAGGGUUGCUACACAGCGAUGUGAUGCUAAUCUCAAAAAGCCGAUCGUAGUCCGGAUUGGAGUCUGCAACUCGACUCCAUGAAGUCGGAAUCGCUAGUAA
rnacentral:rRNA from 1 species